rnacentral:tRNA from 1 species
GCUCCCAUCGUCUAGCGGUCUAGGACACUGGCCUUUCAAGCCGGCGGCAGGGGUUCAAAUCCCCUUGGGAGCGCCA